GGCGCGGCGUCGCGGAGCUCGGGCCGGUGGAAGGUUUACCUGCUAGGCUCGUCCCACCUGUGUGGAGCUCCCAUCGCCCUCCAGCGUUGCGCAGCCUGAAGGGACAGGACGGACAAGCGGGUGCCUCCUUCUAAUUCAUCUUCACCAUUGUGGUUGUCAAUAUGGCAUGCAGAAUUAUCCCUCUUUCCAGCUUCUGGAGUCUACCUGGAUUCCUGGGCUCAUGGCCCCUUCCUCCAUCUUCAAACCAGCAAUGGAAAUGGAAAUGAAAGCAAAAUGGAAGGACGUGAGGUCCUUAUCCUUGGAGAUCCUAUGGAGUCUCCACAGACAUUCCUUGAAGAAAUCAGAUGGAGCUGAGCCUGACACUCUAACCGGUUCUCUGGGUGUACUGCAAAGGUCUAAUAAAAGGCACCUUUGCCCGGUUGCUUCAAUUCUAGGAAGCUGUUCAAUGUUUGACUAUAUUUCUCCAUACUCAUUUGAAAACAGUUCAUCAGGUUAGUUCAGUUGAAUUAUUGCUCCUUGGGAGUUUUCCAAACCCUGGAUUUCCUUCGGAGAGAGCUAGAUUCUAUUCCAUUCUUGGAAUUCAGCUCCUUGCCCUUCUCUGUGACCCCGGAUCGCGAAUGCAGUAAAAAUAAAAAUAUCCUGCUGCCUCCUGCACUAAGAAA
rnacentral:lncRNA from 1 species